GGGCUCUUAGCUCAGCGGUUAGAGCAGAGGACUCAUAAUCCUUUGGUCGCUGGUUCGAAUCCAGCAGGGCCCA
rnacentral:tRNA from 1 species